rnacentral:rRNA from 1 species
GGUCACUGCUAUUGGGAUUCGACUAAGCCAUGCGAGUCGAGAGGGUUCGGCCCUCGGCUGACGGCUCAGUAACACGUGGAUAAUCUGCCCUAAGGUGGAGGAUAACCUCGGGAAACUGAGAAUAAUACUCCAUAGGUCUAAGAUACCGGAAUGUACUUAGGCUUAAAACUCCGGUGCCUUAGGAUGAGUCUGCGGACUAUCAGGUUGUAGUCAGGGUAAAGACCUGACUAGCCUACGACGGAUAUGGGUUGUGGGAGCAAUAACCCAGAGAUGAUAUCUUAGACACGAUAUCAGGCCCUACGGGGCGCAGCAGGCGCGAAAACUUCACACUGUACGAAAGUGCGAUGAGGGAAUCCCAAGUGUAUGCACGUAAGUGUAUACUGUUUCUUUGUUUAAAACGCAUAGAGAGUAAGGGCUGGGUAAGACGGGUGCCAGCCGCCGCGGUAAUACCUGCAGCUCAAGUGGUGAUCAUUAUUGUUGGGCCUAAAACGUCCGUAGCCGGUUUAGUAAAUGCCUGGGUAAAUCGUGUAGCUUAACUAUACGACUUCCGGGUAGACUGCUAAGCUUGAGAUCGGGAGAGGCUAGAGGUACUCCUGGGGUAGAGGUGAAAUUCUGUAAUCCUGGGGGGACCACCAGUGGCGAAGGCGUCUAGCUAGAACGGGUCUGACGGUGAGGGACGAAGCCCUGGGGCGCAAACCGGAUUAGAUACCCGGGUAGUCCAGGGUGUAAACGCUGCUUGCUUGAUGUUAGUCGGGCUCUGAGCCCGAUUAGUGUCGGAGAGAAGUUGUUAAGCAAGCUGCCUGGGAAGUACGGUCGCAAGGCUGAAACUUAA